CUCAGAGGCCCUCAUGGGGGCGUUUCCUCCCUGACUUAAGGCCACCCUUCGGGGUGGCUUUUUUUUGGCUAUC
rnacentral:sRNA from 1 species